rnacentral:rRNA from 1 species
AGAGUUUGAUCAUGGCUCAGGAUGAACGCUGGCGGCGUGCUUAACACAUGCAAGUCGAACGAACCUUCGGGUUAGUGGCGGACGGGUGAGUAACGCGUGGGAAUCUGCCCUCAGGAGGGGGAUAACGGCUGGAAACGGCCGCUAAUACCCCAUAUGCCGAGAGGUGAAAUGAAUUUCGCCUGAGGAUGAGCCCGCGUCUGAUUAGCUAGUUGGUGAGGUAAGAGCUCACCAAGGCAUCGAUCAGUAGCUGGUCUGAGAGGAUGAUCAGCCACACUGGGACUGAGACACGGCCCAGACUCCUACGGGAGGCAGCAGUGGGGAAUUUUCCGCAAUGGGCGAAAGCCUGACGGAGCAACGCCGCGUGAGGGAUGAAGGCCUCUGGGCUGUAAACCUCUUUUCUCAAGGAAGAAGAUCUGACGGUACUUGAGGAAUAAGCCACGGCUAAUUCCGUGCCAGCAGCCGCGGUAAUACGGGAGUGGCAAGCGUUAUCCGGAAUUAUUGGGCGUAAAGCGUCCGCAGGCGGCCCUUCAAGUCUGCUGUUAAAACGUGGAGCUUAACUCCAUCAUGGCAGUGGAAACUGUUGGGCUUGAGUGUGGUAGGGGCAGAGGGAAUUCCCGGUGUAGCGGUGAAAUGCGUAGAUAUCGGGAAGAACACCAGUGGCGAAGGCGCUCUGCUGGGCCAUAACUGACGCUCAUGGACGAAAGCCAGGGGAGCGAAAGGGAUUAGAUACCCCUGUAGUCCUGGCCGUAAACGAUGAACACUAGGUGUCGGGGGAAUCGACCCCCUCGGUGUCGUAGCCAACGCGUUAAGUGUUCCGCCUGGGGAGUACGCACGCAAGUGUGAAACUCAAAGGAAUUGACAGGGGGCCCGCACAAGCGGUGGAGUAUGUGGUUUAAUUCGAUGCAACGCGAAGAACCUUACCAGGGUUUGACAUCCUGCGAAUCUCUUGGAAACGAGAGAGUGCCUCCGGGAACGCAGUGACAGGUGGUGCAUGGCUGUCGUCAGCUCGUGUCGUGAGAUGUUGGGUUAAGUCCCGCAACGAGCGCAACCCACGUCUUUAGUUGCCAGCAUUUAGUUGGGCACUCUAGAGAGACCGCCGGUGAUAAACCGGAGGAAGGUGUGGAUGACGUCAAGUCAUCAUGCCCCUUACAUCCUGGGCUACACACGUACUACAAUGCUACGGACAAAGAGCAGCAAGUUCGCGAGGACAAGCAAAUCUCAUAAACCGUGGCUCAGUUCAGAUCGUAGGCUGCAACUCGCCUACGUGAAGGAGGAAUCGCUAGUAAUCGCAGGUCAGCAUACUGCGGUGAAUACGUUCCCGGGCCUUGUACACACCGCCCGUCACACCAUGGAAGUUGGCCACGCCCGAAGCCGUUACUCCAACCCUUGUGGAGGAGGACGUCGAAGGUGGGGCUGAUGACUGGGGUGAAGUCAUAACAAGGUAGCCGUA